GAUGAAGAACGCAGCGAAAUGCGAUACGUAGUGUGAAUUGCAGAAUUCAGUGAAUCAUCGAAUCUUUGAACGCACAUUGCGCCCCUUGGUAUCCCGAGGGGCAUGCCUGUUCGAGCGUCAUUUCACCACUCAAGCCUGGCUUGGUGUUGGGCGACGUCCCCUUUGGGGACGCGCCUCGAAACGCUCGGCGGCGUGGCACCGGCUUUAAGCGUAGCAGAAUCUUUCGCUUUGGAAGUCGGGGCCCCGUCUGCAGGAAGACCUACUCGCAAGGUUGACCUCGGAUCAGGCAGGGAUAGCCGCUGAACUUAAGCAUAUCAAUAAGCGGAGGA
rnacentral:misc_RNA from 1 species